GGCCCCCCCUCCCUCGCUGAGAGCCGCCGCCGCCGCCGCCCCCGCCCCCCCCUUUUCCCUCGCUGAGAGCCUGAUAGCCGCCUCCUCUCGGUGUCGUCGCCUCUUCAACGACCGGCCGGCGGCUCUUCGCGUCCUUCUCCCCCGGACGGCAACCUCUGCGGCUCCGGUCACCGACUCACAGUCACCGGUUUUGAGAGUUAGAAGAUGCAAGGAUGUUCUACAGUUUUCUAUUAUGGAAGUGGCUUCAAGAAUUAUGAACUUUUAUGAACUUUUGAAUGCACAAAGAUGCAUGUUUGUUAUAAUGUUAAUGGGACAAUGCAAUUUGUAUUUUGUCUAAGUUUGCAGUUUUUAUUAUUGGGUUGUAAUUUUCAGCUGGACAACAGUGUUUCAUACAUUUUAUUUUCUUUCUAUUGGCUUGAAGCUGCAAA